AUGGCAGCGAUCAUGGCGGGGUGUGGGCAGGGGCUGGAGCAAGAUUUCGAUUUCUUCGUGGUGGUCGACUUCGAGGCGACGUGCGUCAAAGACGCGCAGAUCUUCCCGCAGGAAAUCAUCGAGUUCCCCGCCGUGCUCGUCGACGGCGCCACCGGCCGCAUCGAGUUCGCGUUUCGCAGUCACCGGCAUCCGGCAGGAGGACGUCGACGGCGGCGUGGAUCUCGGCGAGGCGCUCUGGCUGCACGACGCUUGGUUGAAGGCGGCGACGGCGGGGGCAGGGAACAAGAGACGUGUCCGCUUGGCCGUCGUGGCAUGGGGGGACUGGGAUUGCCGGACCAUGCUCGAGUUCGAGUGCCGCUUCAAGGGCAUCGAGAAGCCCUCGUACUUCGAUCAGUGGAUCAAUCUGAGAGUCCCCUUCUAGGCGGCGCUCGGUGGCGGAGGGCGGGUCAACCUGCAGGAAGCGGCUACAAUUCCAAUCGACAACGCAAACUGUAA
rnacentral:rRNA from 1 species